rnacentral:sRNA from 1 species
AUAGUUGAGAGAUUAGGGUCCUCUCAAAUAUUUCCUAGGUAUGCACACAACCUGCAUAUGUGUGUGGCCUUCUUGAUUUUCAGGAAUUUGCUAGAACUUUUCAAAGCCUCCCAUGGAUGUCUUAUUCUUGAGCUUUUCCUUUUAAGUUUUUUGGUCAGCUCUUUGUUUGCCUCAAAUGGUAUUUCAACCUCUGGUAGUUGUAUUAUUUUUAAAAAUUGUCACAUUUGUUUUACACAAACAAAAAAAUUGUUUUUAAGACUAAGUUGUUUUGGACUCUACUUUUUUAGAGUGAAUGUUAACAUCCAUUGUUUAAUGGAAGGGUUCAGGUUCAACUGGCACAGUGCCAGCUCCUCGUCUGGCUCCCACAGGUGUCAGUUGGGCUGACAAGGUAAAGGCUCAUCAUACAGGCUCUACUGCUUCUUCAGAAAUAACACCUGCCCAGUCUUGCCCACCAAUGACAGUGCAGAAGGCCUCACGCAAAAAUGAACGGAAAGAUGCUGAAGGAUGGGAGACUGUUCAGAGAGGAAGGCCUAUUCGUUCUCGAUCAACAGCAGUGAUGCCAAAAGUUUCAUUGGUAACAGAAGCUGCAAGAUCAAAGGAUGACAGUGAUAAAGAAAAUGUAUGUCUUUUACCUGAUGAAAGCAUACGGGAAGGUGAAUUUGUUGGAGAUG